GACGAACGCUGGCGGCGUGCCUAAUACAUGCCAGUAGAACGCUGAAGGAGGAGCUUGCUUCUCUGGAUGAGUUGCGAACGGGUGAGUAACGCGUAGGUAACCUGCCUGGUAGCGGGGGAUAACUAUUGGAAACGAUAGCUAAUACCGCAUAAUAGUAGAUGUUGCAUGACAUUUGCCUAAAAGGUGCAAUUGCAUCACUACCAGAUGGACCUGCGUUGUAUUAGCUAGUUGGUGGGGUAACGGCUCACCAAGGCGACGAUACAUAGCCGACCUGAGAGGGUGAUCGGCCACACUGGGACUGAGACACGGCCCAGACUCCUACGGGAGGCAGCAGUAGGGAAUCUUCGGCAAUGGACGGAAGUCUGACCGAGCAACGCCGCGUGAGUGAAGAAGGUUUUCGGAUCGUAAAGCUCUGUUGUAAGAGAAGAACGAGUGUGAGAGUGGAAAGUUCACACUGUGACGGUAUCUUACCAGAAAGGGACGGCUAACUACGUG
rnacentral:rRNA from 1 species